GCCACACCCGCGGCCCUGCAGUUCCACUCCCGCCUGCCAGCCCUCAACUCCCGGUCGGGUUGUCUCCCCGCCGGUCUCCCGCCCCCAGCUACCGGGUCCGCCAGGGUCAGGAGCCCGAGAUUCGCCGCCCGUCGUAGCGGCCCGCUUCGGCCCCUCGGGGCCCGGGGCUCUCCGGGACCUACACAGCCCGGGAGACUCCGGCGGGGCUGCCUGCCCUCGCCCGAGCCCGGGGGCCCAAGCUGCGGCAGCGGCUCCCAACGCCUCUGCUCGAGGAGAGCGGCGGCCUGGAUGCCCCAGCGCCCUCCCUGUCCAGUUCCUUGAAGGCCCCCAAGAGGGGCGAGGCCGGGGAGGUGCUGGAGCGGGGCCAAGUGAGCUUUCGGGGCCGCGGUUGAACUGGAGUCUUGAGUGCGCUGCGGUCAGUGGAGGCCCUUCCACCCUCGCCGCGCCCCGUGGGGAAUAGUCCCCCACCUCCCGCCAUGGCUGCAGCAGGAGGAGACGACGUCCUCCAUUUUGUCGGGACAACUGUGGGAACUUGGGACCCCUCAAAACCAAACCCCGUGGGGCCAGGACUUGUCCCGGAAGCCCCGACUGGGCUCUGCCAUUCGGACAAGGGAACAGCCCCAGCUGCCGGCGUCUGCGUCCGCGGGGCAGUACUGGUCGGGCGCGACGGUGGAGACACCCAGACGCAGCUCCCCGCCUCCAUCAACCAAGAUGGAGGGAGCUGCAGGCUCCCUUGGAGCUGGGCUCUCGCGGGUUGGAGGGGCUGAGGCCUGCCCUGGGGCGUCCCUGGGCGCCGCCGUCCUGUGCUAGCAGCCCGGGGCGCUGGCCCUGCCUAGGCCUUUUUACUGCCUGCCACCGUCUCCUGGUCCGGAAUGGUUGAUGGAGACUCCAUGGAGGCUCCCUCCACAGCCCGCUCUAUCGCGGGGCGCACCCGCUGCGGCCCCUGCGGGGAGCAGAAUCAGGGACAGAUGGCGCCCGGUGAGGGCGGGCCCCACAGGCCACCUCCACGAGGGGUCUUCUCUUUUGUUCCUCGUCUACACCUACGUCUUCGGCGGAUGUCAUGGUGCUGAACCAUUUCCCGGACUCCACGUAAAGAUGGAAGCGAUUCCGCUUUCGUCUCGCCCUGGCGGUUCUUAGUGGGAUUACAAUUGAGGAUGUUAGUUUGGAUGAAAGUUGGUGAAAUACUUACCUUAUGUCUGGAAAUACAGAUAAUGUGAUUUUUAAAAAACACAUUGAGCCCCGUUUUACUUCUGUGGUAUGGUAAAGGCACAGGUUUAUUCAAUGAAAAUCAGACGUUAACCAUCUAAUGCAGGGGUGGCCAAUCUUUUGGCUUCCCGGGGCCACAUUGGAAGAAUUGGCUUGGGCCACACAUAAAAUACGCUAACAGUAACAAUAGCUGAUGAGCUAAAACAAACGAAAAAACCAAAACGCCAAAAAAAUCUCAUAACGUUUUAAGAAAAUUUACAAAUAUGUGUUGGGCUGCAUUCAAAGCCGUCCUGGGCCGCAUGCAACCCCCAAGGGCUGCAGGUUGGACAAGCUUGAUCUAAGACAAAAGCAUGUUCACGGAUUGAUGAGAGUUCUGUGUAAGCCUUUGCAUAUUGCAUAGUGCUGUAUGUCAUGGAUAUGCCUAAUAUCACCUACAUUUUUUAGGUCCUCAGUUACUCUUUGGAAAUAAGUGAAUUACAUGUAAUGUCAUCAUUUUAAUGACUGCUGUAAAUUACAAGCACUGACUACCCUGAGUUCGUGGAGAAGGGCUCCAUAGAGAAAAUUUGAAGGUCUGACAGAAACUUUAAAUGCCUUUCAGACAUGUGAUGCUUUCC
rnacentral:lncRNA from 10 species